GCCCUUCGUACAUCAGCUGAUAUCUCAAAGUGCUGUACAGAAACCAGCCUAAAACCCCAAACAGCAAGCAAUGCCUGUGAAAGAAGCACGGUGGCUAGGAAAAACUCCCUAGGAAAAACUCCCUAGAAAGGCCAAAAACCUAGGAAGAAACCUAGAGAGGAACCAGGCUAUGAGGGGUGGCCAGUCCUCUUCUGGCUGUGCCGGGUGGAUAUUAUAACAGAACAUGGUCAAGAUGUUAAAAUGUUCAUAAAUGACCAGCAUGGUCUAAUAAUAAUAAUCAUAGUAGUUGUCGAGGGUGCAACAAGCACGUCCGGUGAACAGGUCAGGGUUCCAUAGCCGCAGGCAGAACAGUUGAAACUGGAGCAGCAGCACGGCCAGGUGGACUGGGGACAGCAAGGAGUCAUCAUGCCAGGGUCAGUGAUUUGCGGGGCCUUUGCCCAUCGCCAGGGCAUAGAGACAGGCUAGAGGCUACAGAGGAGCACAAAGCGUCCCUCUGCUCCAAUCACCCACAAACUGAGUAUUACUGUCCAGUACAGGAAGUAUUACUGUCCAGUACAUGAAUUUCUCCAUCCACGACUGCAAGGCCCUUGGUGCUCCCAGCCAUCUAGGACAUCUACUCUAAACAGUGCCUGAGGAAGGCACGCAGCAUCAUCAAGGACCCCACACACCCCAGCCACGAGCUGUUUACUCCCUUACCGUCGGGCAGACGUUAUUGGAGCAUGAGGUCUGAUACCAACAGGCUCAGAGACAGUUUCUAUCUACAAGCCAUCAGACUGCUGAACACUUGAACUGGAAUGACCACCUGCACUGAUUCUCCGCACCUUAGCACACAUGCACUCACAAGCACGCACACACACAAACACACAUGCAUUCACGCUACACACACACACACACACACACACAUCGCAACUGCUGCUACCAGACUCUUGUGAUUGCCAAAUACUGC
rnacentral:lncRNA from 1 species